rnacentral:rRNA from 1 species
AGAAUCAACGCUGGCGGCGUGCCUAACACAUGCAAGUCGCACGAGAAAGGGUAGCAAUACCUGAGUACAGUGGCGCACGGGUGAGUAACACGUGAAUUAUCUACCUCCGAGUUGGGAAUAAACUGAGAGAAAUCUUAGCUAAUACCGCAUAACACUUACGAGUCAAAGCAGCAAUGCGCUUGGAGAGGAGUUCGCGGCAGAUUAGUUAGUUGGCGGGGUAAUGGCCCACCAAGACGAUGAUCUGUA